rnacentral:rRNA from 1 species
UACGUAGGGGGCAAGCGUUGUCCGGAUUUAUUGGGCGUAAAGAGCGUGUAGGCGGCCAGACAGGUCCGUUGUGAAAACUCGAGGCUCAACCUCGAGACGCCGAUGGAAACCGUCUGGCUAGAGUCCGGAAGAGGAGAGUGGAAUUCCUGGUGUAGCGGUGAAAUGCGCAGAUAUCAGGAAGAACACCCGUGGCUAAGGCGGCUCUCCAGUACGGUACUGACGCUGAGACGCGAAAGCGUGGGGAGCGAACAGG